UACGAAGGGGGCUAGCGUUGCUCGGAAUCACUGGGCGUAAAGGGUGCGUAGGCGGGUCUUUAAGUCAGGGGUGAAAUCCUGGAGCUCAACUCCAGAACUGCCUUUGAUACUGAAGAUCUUGAGUUCGGGAGAGGUGAGUGGAACUGCGAGUGUAGAGGUGAAAUUCGUAGAUAUCGAGAGGAACACCUGCGGCGAAGGCGGGUUGCUGGGCUGACACUGACGCUGAAGCGCGAAAGCUAGGGGAGCGAACGGG
rnacentral:rRNA from 1 species